GCCCGUCUAGCUCAGUCGGUAGAGCGCAAGGCUCUUAACCUUGUGGUCGUGGGUUCGAGCCUCACGGUGGGCG
rnacentral:tRNA from 1 species